CAAGUACUCCUUCCGUCCGGAAUUACUUGUUAUCAAAAUGGAUGUGUCUAGAACUAAAAUACAUCUAGAUACAUCCAUUUCAAUGACAAGUAUUUUCGGACGGAGGGAGUACAAG
rnacentral:pre_miRNA from 1 species